rnacentral:lncRNA from 1 species
AUAUAUCAUGCUUUUGAUGCUUGUUCUAAAUCACAUAUUGCUUUAUCAUAUAUGUAAUGUGUAUUUUUAAAUAUGGUGGUUAUUUUUCAUAGAUCUCCUUUUUAAUGAAGUAACCACAUAGGAGUGAAUUCUACACAUUCAUUUGACAGAAUAUAAACCUCAUGAAGCAAGCACAUGAUAAUGAUGAUCUUUACUUCUAAUCAUGCAAGAAUCUUUAUCAAGAUCUAUUUUCUCUUUUCUUGAUUUAGUCUUUUAGUAGUCAUUAAUUUUUCUUCAUUAAGUGCAUAUGUAAAAGAUUAACCAUAUAAUUUGAUUUUAGUAUUUUGAUAAUAAAUCAUUAGUCUUAUAAGGAAUAAAAUGAAUUGAUACUUCUACAACUAGAAUUUUUCAUGAAUGUUCUAUAUGCAUUGCUUGAUGAAUGAUAUCCAA